CAUCGAUAUCUUGAACGCACAUUGCGGUCCCGGGUCACUCCCGGGACCACGCCUGUCUGAGGGUCGGC
rnacentral:rRNA from 2 species